AUGAACGCUGGCGGCGUGGAUAAGGCAUGCAAGUCGGACGAUUUCCUUUUUUGAAGAAGAUGCGAUUACAUCAAGUCAACUGAUAUUUUGGAGAUAGUGGCGAACGAGCUAGUAACACCUUGGUACGUACCCAAAAGUUUGGUAUAGCUCGCCGAAAGGCGGGGUAAUCCCAAAUAAUCCCUCUAUCUAUCGGAUAGAAGGGUAAAGUCGCAAGACGCUUUUGGAGCGGCCUAGGACCGAUCAGUUAGUUGGUGAGGUAAUGGCUCACCAAGACGAUGACCGGUAGGG
rnacentral:rRNA from 1 species